rnacentral:lncRNA from 1 species
CACAGCCACCUCGGGUCCCCUCCGCAGCCCCCUCCCGCCACACAAAGGCAGAUUGCAUUGUGGAAUGUCGCUCGGUGUUGGCACAUGCUGCUGUGUUUAUUUUCUGUGGAUCCCCUGUAUGAAUAUAUGUUAAAAAAAAAAAAAAAAAAAAAAGAAAGGAAGAGAACUGAAAAGCUAUCCCUUUUUGAUGUAGACAGUAUUUAACCGUACGAAUUUGCACUGCAAGAAAAUCGAAGUUUACAUAAACAAAAUGUUUAUUUUUUCUUUUUUCCCCCUUCCUUUCCGACCUUAAUUUUGCAAAUGACUUGCAUUUUCCACAGUGAGCGUAAGUCAACCAGUGACCAGUCUACAAUAUGUUACUGUGUUUUAGCCUUUGCUUUAUGUGUAUAUGUGAACUUUUGUUAUAAACAAGUAUUCUUAAAUACGUGUAAUGCUUAUUUUCUCCUUUUACCAUAGCAAAAAAAAAUAGUAUAUGUGUGUGUAUGUAUACAUAUGCACGCGUGCAUAGACAUACAUAUAUACACAUAUAUAUAUAAUCUCUAUAUAUACACAUAUAUAUGCAUCUCCAGCUUCCAUUCUUCAGAGAUGUGACUCUCGUAAUUGUUUAAUACAUGCCUUCAAUGGCAAGAGUCGAGUUUGGAGAAGGGAGAAUAAUGCAAAUCAACAAAGUAAACUUCAUUUUCAGGCAGUGUGUCCAGGGGUCGAGGCGCAACCAAAGGGGGAGGAAAAAAAUAUGUGCAACCCUUCCAGACCGUGUCAGUGCUGGCAAGCAAGGCCUGGUGUGGGGAAGGCGGAGAGGGAACAGUAUGUUUCCAGAGUUUUCCCAGAGAAAGUGGCAUUUCCUUGAAGGGGAAAGGGAAUUAUUUAGCUUCCCCACCACCGCCCCCUCAGCGCCCUUUCCUUCCCCUCCUCCUCCCACCGCGGCUCCCCUGCGUGCCUUUGGCAUCCCCAGUCUCGCCUCCCGGGCCGAUAUCAGCCUCUAAACUUUCUUUUAUUGAGCAAUUUUACUUCAAGGCAGAGCCAGGGAGAGUCUGAGGAGCUGCUGGGCCCGAGGUGGGGGUCGGGUGCUUACACCUGCCUGUAAACACACGCUGCCCCCUCCUCUCCACAGAGACUGUGUGCAUUUCUUUUUCUCUUUACUUUCCAUAUUUAUUUUAUUUUCUAUUUGUAUCCAGCCCCUCUCCCUUCCCAUCCUCCCCUUGUCCUUUGGUCAGAUUGUGGUAUAAUUUAUUGAAGGAAAGGACCAGUUUUAACUUGGGCAGCCUUGUGUCUUUCACUGGGGAAUGAAAUGAAGUGGGGGAAAAAAUGCCAUUUUUCAAUCCGUGUUUCCCACCCCCCCCCCCUUUCGCUAAUAGUUUUAAAGUGCAUUUCGUGACAUUAUCUUGAUGAGAAAUGGUUAACUUUCCAAAAUAAAAAAAAAAGAGAAAAACCCACGGGGACAAAAA